GUAACGGCGAGUGAAGCGGCAACAGCUCAAAUUUGAAAUCUGGUCCCUAGGGCCCGAGUUGUAAUUUGUAGAGGAUGCUUUUGGUGAGGUGCCGCCCGAGUUCCCUGGAACGGGACGCCACAGAGGGUGAGAGCCCCGUCUGGCUGGCCGCCGAGCCUCUGUAAAGCUCCUUCGACGAGUCGAGUAGUUUGGGAAUGCUGCUCAAAAUGGGAGGUAUAUGUCUUCUAAAGCUAAAUAUUGGCCAGAGACCGAUAGCGCACAAGUAGAGUGAUCGAAAGAUGAAAAGCACCUUGAAAAGAGGGUUAAAUAGUACGUGAAAUUGUUGAAAGGGAAGCGCUUGUGACCAGACUUGGGCGCGGCGGAUCAUCCGGGGUUCUCUCCGGUGCACUUCGCCGCGUCUAGGCCAGCAUCAGUUCGUCGCGGGGGAAAAAGGCUUCGGGAACGUGGCUCCUCCGGGAGUGUUAUAGCCCGUUGCAUAAUACCCUGCGGUGGACUGAGGACCGCGCAUCUGCAAGGAUGCUGGCGUAAUGGUCACCAGCGACCCGUCUUGAAACACGGACCAAGGAGUCGUCUUCGUAUGCGAGUGUUCGGGUGUCAAACCCCUACGCGUAAUGAAAGUGAACGCAGGUGAGAGCUUCGGCGCAUCAUCGACCGAUCCUGAUGUUCUCGGAUGGAUUUGAGUAAGAGCAUACGGGGCCGGACCCGAAAGAAGGUGAACUAUGCCUGUAUAGGGUGAAGCCAGAGGAAACUCUGGUGGAGGCUCGCAGCGGUUCUGACGUGCAAAUCGAUCGUCAAAUAUGGGCAUGGGGGCGAAAGACUAAUCGAACCUUCUAGUAGCUGGUUUCCGCCGAAGUUUCCCUCAGGAUAGCAGUGUUGAGCUCAGUUUUAUGAGGUAAAGCGAAUGAUUAGGGACCCGGGGGCGCUAUAUUGCCUUCAUCCAUUCUCAAACUUUAAAUAUGUAAGAAGCCCUUGUUACUUAGUUGAACGUGGGCAUUCGAAUGUAUCAACACUAGUGGGCCAUUUUUGGUAAGCAGAACUGGCGAUGCGGGAUGAACCGAACGCGAGGUUAAGGUGCCAGAGUAGACGCUCAUCAGACACCACAAAAGGCGUUAGUACAUCUUGACAGCAGGACGGUGGCCAUGGAAGUCGGAAUCCGCUAAGGACUGUGUAACAACUCACCUGCCGAAUGUACUAGCCCUGAAAAUGGAUGGCGCUCAAGCGUCUCACCCAUACCUCGCCCUCGGGGUAGAAACGAUGCCCCGAGGAGUAGGCGGACGUGGAGGUCGUGACGAA
rnacentral:rRNA from 1 species